rnacentral:tRNA from 1 species
GCCGGUAUAGCUCAACAGGUAGAGCGACCGAUUCGUAAUCGGUUGGUUGGGGGUUCAAGUCCCCCUGCUGGCU